AGGAGCGAGGAAACAAUUCAGCCAAAGCUGCAUUGAGAUUGUCAUCUUUUGUUGUCAACUCGACUUCAGCAAUGGUUACAAAAUCAAUGUGACCGGCUUCCUCGGCAACUACGUCACCAUUGAGGAAAUUCGGUUGAGCUGUGCUCGACUGAAAAUCAGCGGGCAAAACAUGGACCAUACUGAUUUCCAUGUUAUCCAAGACUGACAGGCCCAUCGGGUU
rnacentral:lncRNA from 1 species